AAGUGCAGUUGAUUGCUGGAGUUCAAGGCCUAGUCUCAGGGCCAUAGCAUCUCAAAUUACUACAAAAACAAAGUAUUUUCAUGGUAUUCCUGAUUAUUUGCUACCUGGUUAGUUACAAAGAGAGAGCCUAGGCCAAAAUCAUGCAACAGUUGCUGUUUCUGAUGUGUGGGAGCCAUGUCAGCCAGGUUUUUUUUCUCAUUUAUUGAUAUGUACAAGGAUGGGAGAUAGACACAGCCAAAAAUGCUGGGAUCCAAAUAUUUUCCAAGUUCUAAGAUAUCCAGAAUGGGGAGUUAAUUUUGUCUCCUAGUGAAGAUAGGGGGUCCCCAUGGAACAUUUCAAUGGGAGGCAAAGCUCUCCACAGACCUGGGGUGUGCUGGACGAGCAUUUCUGUUCUGCUUCAAAGGCAGAGGAGGAGGGAGCGAUGCGAUAAAAUCAGUUUCCAGCCCUAAAGCUGACUUGGAUCUGGGGGUUCUUUGUGAACCUUACAAAGCUUUUUCUCCAGCCAGCCACCUUCACUCGCCCCUGAGCACGUGCCAGGAAUUCCCUAGCAAAGGAAGCUGCCAAACCCAGGGAGUUGUGAUAAUUCUCUGCUAUCACAUCCAUAAAGCCUCAGCCGAGGCUGCUCUUCCCCCAAGCGAGCAGGGGCACGGCGUGUCCAAGAAGGAACAUCUUCAGCCUACAGCUCUGUUAUUUUAUUCCCUCUCUGUGCUGCAGCUUUGUGUUUUUACGGGGCUGUGAUGGCUCUAUGCAGGAGAAUUUCUGCAUUCCCUCUUCGUUUGGGAAGCAAAUUUCAGCCGUGCACUCCGGGGGCAGGAAGGCACGCUGCUCCUCCGCUCUGACUGGAGGCUGUGCAGUAACACAGCAAGCUCAACCUUGAGAAGGGGGAGAGGCACUCUGGGACCCAGGCUGGUUUAUAUCUCAGCUGAUUCUCCUCUUUCUCUCUUCCAUAUCCCCUUAAUAGCUUGACAGGAGAAAUAUAGGGAAGAUACAGCCAUCUGAUUAACAGUGCCGGGGGCUGGGGAUGGAUGACAAGGAGAGGGAGCACAGCGUGGCUACCAGCCAAGUUCCAGCAAGAAACAGAAUAUCUGGCUUCCUCUAAUCUCUGGAGGAAAAUUAAGUUACAAAAACCUUUAGUGGAAACUUUGCAUACGUUCAGUACCAUUGCUAUGCCUGACAGAAAAAAAAAACCUCCCUGAUAUAUUAUUUAGUUUCUAGUUAUAGAAUUAAAGGCACAAGCUUUCCCACCAGGAAUAAAGAAAAAAACAAAUCCUCUCGAAAACUAAAGACAAAACCUCAUAAAACCCCUUGAAUGUUUUGUGCUGUCAGAGUUCUUGAGAAAUUCCCCUUUCUGUGUUAAUGGAGGGUUGUGUGGAUAGAGUGAAGAUGUCUGAACAUCUUCCCAAUUAAUUUUUGCACUUACAUGUAGAUCCCUUCUUGUUUUUCGAGCCAUUUGCUCUGCCUCCUGCAGGAGCAGUGAAGAAGAGGAGAAGGUGGAGGUGGGGAAAAGCUCCAAAUUGCCCUGGGAGAAGGUUAGGUUGCUCCUGCCCCCACUGAGCCCAAGAGCCAAGACCAUUGCCUUGCUGUUCAUCAGAAAUGUGUAUUACACACAGAGAGGAAUUCCUCCCCCUCCUCCAUGUCUGUCAUUAAUGUGUUGAUGAAAAAUAGUGGAGUUUGAUUUAAAAAAAAUAGGUUAGGUGUUAAGUGAGCAACAAGUUGAGACCUGUGCAUAUGAGAGAGAGUGCUGAUUAAAAUGAAAUAGCCUAUUUAUUGACUGUUACAUCUAAAGCAGUUGGAGCAACCAUGAUGAAAGUAUUACUUACAUGUUGCUCAGCUUUAUGAGAGGGGAAAAAAGAAGCUAGACUGGCUGGUUAGAACUUUUCUUCAUUAAGGCUUACAGUAUGUUGAUAUGUGUACACAGUGCAAUUUUUUCAUGUCAGAAACAUGAGCCAAGGGUCUGAACAGCCAUUGCCUGGCUCAGCACCAUGCCUUCCCCUGGCUGGCUGUGCUCUCCUCUUGCUGCCUAUCCAGGCUAGUGGGAAUCUAUCUCUGCUUCCUCCACGAGGAGAAAGCAGAGAUGCAUUUGCAGUAUUUCCCUCCACCUUGCUGCAAGCAGCUUGCUCCCAACCUUCCUCACGUUAUUCCUUCACCAGCUUGUCUGAAGGGAACAUUUUCCAUGCAGAGGAAUGUUAGAGCUGUGUUUACAUGCCAUUUCCCUUCUGAGAGCUUUAUUUCUCUUCAGCCUCAGGGACCUCACCACCAGCCAAAUCUCAAUAUGGGGCUGAAAUUGUACACUGGCCCCGGGCAGCCCUGCCGUGGGACAGAGGGGUGUGUUUGUGUAAGUGUGCACGUGUGUUGUGUGCACACAAAAACAGAUGUGUGCCGUCCAGAAUAAAUGAGGCUAUUCAAAGUGCCACAAAAUGGACAAUUUAUGGCCAGUUUCAGCAAUUAGUCAGACCAAAGGAGUGAGGUGGGUCAGUAUGUAAACCCUCACUGUGCUGUUUUCUUUAAAAAUGCAAUAGGGAGUUCCAGCUGAUGAGCAAAGAUACUGAGAAAGGGUAAUUAAAAAGAAACAAUCUUUGAUGUUCCUCUUAUUACAGUUUCUCCUCAUUUUGUUGUGCUUCCCUUACCUGGUCGUGAGAAACAGAGCUGCUGAUUUCUUUUGGGGAGGGCAGCGUGGGUGUGGGUGCACAGGCAGUUCUGCAGCAAGAAUUCACUCUUUGCUUCCUGCCAAGCUCUUGCACCUUGCAGUGAAUUCAGGUACUUCCUGCAGAAGUGCUGGCACUUAGCAGAAAUUCUAGGUAUCAGCCUACAGGGCCAUCCACUUGUGUGACUAUUUUUAUUGAGCUAAUGGGGGAAGAAGUUCCCCUGCAAAAUAUUGACAGCUUCUAAAAUACUCCACCAGGACAAGAGUAGUUUAAACUGUGUAAAUUAAACCUUGAGCAUGACCUGCCCACAUAGUUCACCACCUCUGUUAGCAUAAAUAUUCUGUUCCAUUUGAAACAAGUAUUUUUUUCUUCUACUCAGGUUUCAGUUCUUCUGCUUCCAGCACUUUAUUUUGUGCCACACUCAUAAGAUUGCAGGUUUCACAUACGCUGUUACAAACUCCUGAGCAACACAAAUUUUUGUGCUGUAUGGAAGGUAUUUAAGUUCAGGUGGUACAGUAAGAAGGUAAACUUUGCAUGACUUUUUGUUUCUCCUAGCCCAUGGGCAGACUUUUCUGACUUGUGCAUCAUGAGUGUGCUCAGUUGUAAUAUAGUGAAGCUGGCUGCUGCUCAUGGAUGUUCUUUCAUUUGUGGGGAUGAGAAUGAAAGAUGAAAAGUGCAGUGGAAUGGUUGGGAGUUAUUUAAUCAAAGUCUUUCAAUGAAAGAAAAGAUAUUUUAAUAUGCAGUUUGAUUCACUGCAAAUUUUUGGCAGUAGAUGGGGCCCUUACUGUAAUAAAAUUCCAUCAAAUUGGGAAGUCUCUUGGAGGUGGUGCAGUAUGUUGGAGCUGACUCCUGGAACAUCAUCCCUGACCUAACUCAGGCUCUUUGUUGUCUCCAUGAAAAUUCUCAUGAGAAAAAGCCAAAAAUCUGGGAAAGGGUUCUUAUACAAUGUUCUUAUACCUCUGCACCCCAACCUUUCACUGCCUUCUGUCCUAGUUCUUUCUUUUACUGUCUUUCUUUCCAAAAAUCUGCAAACCCACGGGCUCCCUGAUUCUGUCCCUGCUGACCACACUCAGGACACUGCCCGAGCUCAAGGAUGAGCAGGAAGGGAAACACACCCCUGGAACAGGAUGGGGCAGAGCCAGAACCUCACCUUCUGCCAUAACACUGUGAAUUCAACAUUUCACUCGAGCAAACCCACAUUUCCUGGCAGUGCUGGGGCUGGCCUGGAAUCCAGACCUGGUGUGCUCAAGACAAGGAGAAGGGAAUGGGAGUCCUGGGGAGAAAGAAAGCCUUGGCAAGCACCCCUAAGUCAUUUACCUUUUUGGAGAACCUACAUCAGUACCACAGCUACAGCCUGAUGUUCGCUCUGGAGAGUGAACAGCAAAUGCUUUGUGUCCUGCACUGAGCUGGAGAGCAAGGUGAAUUUGUGGACUUUCCUCCUGGGUGAUGCUAUCAGGACAAGCUGUGAAGUUGGAUGUCUGAAACAGAUCAAGUCAAUUUUCUAAACACCAGUACACAAGAUGUCACAUUUAGCAGGGAAUUGUCAAAUGCUUGAAAACUGGAAUCACAGGAGCACUGUUUAAUGCUAAGUGGUAUCUGCAUCAUCUCUGAAGCUGGAACAUGCCAGGAAAACAUCCUUCACAUUCUGCACUAGUAUUUCCAAGCUUUCAGGACCAAUCAUGGGUUGGCUGGAUCUGGAGUUGCCAUCCAGCUUGUGGCUGUCUUCACCUGGCCCAAAGCAUGUGUGAGAAGUGCUUGCCCCUGAUGUGAGAUCCCAGCUCUGACCAUCACCUGGCAAUCUGCUAUGCUGGAACUUAUAGAAUGUAGCUGUGGGAAGAAGGAGAUUGAAAAUGCUGGGGCUAAAACCGUGUGGAUCCAGCACCUCCUCGGGUGGACAGGACAAGGUCACAGCAUCCCAGGAGAGAUGGGACUGACAAGGAGGGGAUGCUCCUGCUGUAGGCAAGGCAGGGGUGGAGGGAGCCUGGAUCCUGCACCCUCCUGCUACCCUGUGCCUUGGAGAAUCCUGAAGAAAGCAGAGGGGGCUGUGUGCGGAUUCAAAUGUGAGAAUCGUGAAGCCUGGAUUACUCAAACAAAUUUUGGUGCAGUCUGCUGACUUUAAAUGCUUCCUGGAAAGACUUUGUGAAAAAUGUGCAGCCAAGCAGGAGGAGUCAAAGGUUAUGGCCCAGAGGAGAAGGAGUUCGUGGGCAGCAGGUUCUCCUCAAGCUGAGAGGAACCUUCUUCCCUUUAAUACUAUUUUCCUUUGUGCCUUUGUGGUUGGACUGGCUCCCCCAAAAGGCUGUAAUAGACUUUGUUUCUUGUUUAUCACAACACCUGAAUAUCUGGGGAGUUUUGCCACCUUCAUCUCAAAUCCUGGCUGUUGGUGUGAGGAGGAUGUCAAUUGUAACACAGCAACUUACUCUUUUUCUCACCAGCUAUUUUCCUCUCAGCUGGAUAGCUGGACACAGCUGUUUCCCUGCUCUGGAAACGGACCCAAAGGAAUCAGAAACAAAGGAUGCUGAUGCUGCUUUUCAUCCUUCUGCCCAAGGAGAAUAAAUGUUUGUGCAAACCUUUUUUCAUGUGGCUGCCCAGAAAUGACCCAAGUGAAGCCAAGAAGCUGAACAUUAAGCAACCUUCCCCUGGUGAUGCUGCUGAAAUGAGAGAAUGCAUCCUCUGACACUGUGUGACAUAGCCCAGACUGCAGCUGGCCAUCAAUCCAGGGCUGGUCCACAUCACACCAAAUGCCACUUUCUUGCCACCAGAUUUCACAGCACAGAGGGUGUGUCCCUCUCUCAGCCUGGCAACUUCUGAUAACUCUGAUAACUCACUAAUGACUCAGAAAUCAAGAACUCAAAUCCAAAAUUCAAGAUCUUCCUCUCCAACCUGGCAACAGCUCUGAGGUUCAUUCACAGACCAUUCAUCCCAGAGAAAAGAGUCUGUUUGAAGGCACUCCAAGCCUCAAAUUUUGGUGAAAGGUCCAUCUGAGUCAGUGAAGUGUUUCCCAACAGGGAUCAUGAGGAAGAACAGCUUAAAGUAGACACUUGUAUUUUAGGAACUAGGAUGAGGUGAGAGAGAUCCUACAAUCUGCAGAGUGGUGUACAUACACAGGCCAAAGUUCAGGACACCUCAGGCUGGGCAGUUUUCUGAGGUUUUAGCACUGAUCUUUCUUUCUAUUGAUGUUUUAAAUUAGCACUUUCAGGGAAGCUCUGUGUCCCACAGAAGAUCUGAUUUGAUUUUGGAGGUGCCUUUCCUCCUACUUUGUAGAAAAACUCUGAAACAGCAACUCAUUCAUUAUCUACAUUUGAUUAAGUGUGGAUCAGAUGAGCCCAGGUGGCUUUUCCUACACUAGGACCAGCAUUCCCAUUGGCUCCUUAUUUGGGGCAAGGCACCUAAAUGCUUUUGUCACCCUGACCUUUACUCUGUUGUAAUUUCACUUCUGACGUCUCAACUGAGAUCUCUCACAAGGGAGAGCAAUUAGUGCCCAUCACAAGGAAAGCUUUUGCAACAUGGGUGACUGCCCACAAGAAACACAGUUGAGACCACCAACUGUUUUAUUUGUUUUUCUUCCAAUUUCUGCUGAUUGAGAAGCUCAUGAGAUACAUCUCAUUUCCCUGGAGGUCCCCAGGGAAGCAGUGGUCAGACAGACCUUUUCCAUCCUGCUUUGGGCAAUGCUGGUGGUACAGCUAAAUUCUGCUUUAUUGAGGCCUCAUUAAUGCUACUGGCAGCUUAUUUCAGCCACCAGACUCUUAUUAUUUGAUGGCAAUUCACUGCUUUUCAGAGCCUGAUUUGGACAAGCUACAUAGAGGGAAAUGGUUUAGUGUCUUGAGCUACAGAUUAUAGAGAAUUAAACUAAAAACUCCAAUAAUGGUUUUGGUGCUAGAGGCUCCAUUGUGGAUGGGAGCCACUGUUCUUUUUGAAAAUAGCCUCUGCUCACUGCAGUGGCAGGUGGAGGUUCUCAGAUCUGUAUCUAUCUGCAGACCUAAAUUUAAAAACUUGAGAUGUCUUUGCAUUUCUCUGCACUAGGUAAUCAUAAAUUGUGGAAUCAUAAAAUACCCAGAAUUGCAAGGGACGCACAAGGAUCAUCAAUGUCCAGUCCUGGCCCUGCACAGGACAGCCCAGAAGUCCCACCCUGUGCCUGAGAAUGUUGUAUGCUGUGCCCACAGGUUUUGCCCAGUACAAUAGAUAACAUCUACACUGCAUCAUCCUUUUGCUAAUUUGAGCAGGAAUUUCAGUAUCCCUUCAAAUCCCUCUCCUUGCUGCUUCCUCCAGUUUGAGGGAGGCCAGUAAUUUGCUGGUGGCUGUUUAACCUCAGGAGGCCUUUUUGCCUCCCCAUCUCCUACCCCACACAGCCUGAGAUGCUCUUGCCAGCAAGCUGAGCUGAGGCUCGCCUCAUUUCCUCCCCUGUAAUUCCACUCUUUGCUUGGAUGAGAAAGGCACUGAAUAGAUUAAAUUUACCUCUUCCUCUGUGGCUGGAUUAUCCAUGCUUCCUGUGUGUGGGAACAGACCAAGUCACAUUGAGUUCUAGGAGUGAUUCAGGUAGAGACAGAGCCUUCACUUUAACUGGACCUUGCAUAUGAGUAUCUCAAAUAAUUAAAAAAUUCUGUGCAAAUAUACCAUGCCAACACUUCUGUUUUAUAAAAUUGUCUGGGCUAUACUUAGGACUUGUCUCUGCUGGUGUUACUUGGAGUAUUUCCACCAGCUUUAGUUUGGACUGGGUUAUCUUAGAAAUAAUUUUUGAUGGAAUCAUUUGUGGUUCUUUACUGAUUUCCUUAAUUCAACCUAUUUUCAUACAAGAAAGGUCUUUGCUUCUUACCACAGGAGGUGCAGCACAGGCCUGAUCCCUGUAACCUCACAAGCCAGAAACCGCUAAAAGAUCAUGUCCACUACAAGUCAUAAAAUCUUUUUUUUAUUAAACUAUCUCAAUUAUCCAGAAAAUGUGUUUUCAUGAUGAGGCUAAGGCACAGAAUUUCAUGUAAAGCAUACAAUUAAAUAUGUGUGUGUGUAGAUUAUAAAAAUGUUUGGGAAAAACUGCUCAAAGAUAACCACCAAUGAUUUGUCUGGCAAGAUACCAUAUGCUUAUUCUCAUUCCAGAGAUCCCAUGUCUGAUCAAACUGGAUUUAUAACAAAACAUUCAAAAUAUAGGUUAUUUUUUGGAUCAAGAGAAUAAAGUUUUCCCCUGCCAUGAUGCCUACAAAGGGAGCUGGUAAUGCCAGGGAACAAGAUGUGCUGGGACUCCUGCUUAUCACAGUUGUUCUCUUUUAGAACUCUUUUAUUUCUUGUUUGUUUGUCUAUCUCUCUCUCUUGUCCUGCAUUUAGAUAUUAAGCUUCUUGGACAGAGCAUGAUUUGGCUUUCAUUGUUCCAACAGUCACAGAUUUAUUGCAGAGGAACUCUUGAUUUGGGACCAAUUGAUGAUGAUAACAGAUAUUGAGUGAAAGUCACAAAAGAAAGCUCCACAGCUGAGCUUGAUGCAAAGAGUGCAGCAUUAGGAAAGGUUUAUGAAAAAGCACAAAUUUUGCAGAAUCUUGUUUAGUUCCUCUUUCAGUCUCUGAUUCUGGAUUUCAGGGAAGAGGUGGCCACACAUAACAACAGAGUUUCCUCCUGGUGAUACCUCUGUGAGGACUUAGCCAUCCCCAGACACGGCAGGGAGCAUUGGGCAACAUGCUUAUGUUUCAUGUGACUUUCCCAUGAAUCACAUCUCCUUUUGUCACCAGAGCAUCCCAUCCCAUCCCAUCCCAUCCCAUCCCAUCCCAUCCCAUCCCAUCC